UACGUAGGGUGCAAGCGUUAUCCGGAAUUAUUGGGCGUAAAGAGCUCGUAGGCGGUUUGUCGCGUCUGCUGUGAAAACCCGAGGCUCAACCUCGGGCCUGCAGUGGGUACGGGCAGACUAGAGUGCGGUAGGGGAGAUUGGAAUUCCUGGUGUAGCGGUGGAAUGCGCAGAUAUCAGGAGGAACACCGGUGGCGAAGGCGGUGAUCUGGGCCAGUACUGACGCUGAGGAGCGAAAGCGUGGGGAGCGAACAGG
rnacentral:rRNA from 1 species